UCUUCCUGGCCUGCCCCUCCCCCUUAUCCCUGACAUUCCUCCCCCAGCCCCUGUUUCCAGCAGGCCCCUCUCUGGGUUCUCCAGGUUUCCCAGAGGCCCCUGGGCCCCAAGCCAGGGAGGCCCUCCAUGGACUGUCCUGCCUACACCAGGGAGGGCCACGGCACGUCCUCACCACCAGCCACUGUCUCCGCUGCGGAGUGACUGGCCCUGGGCUAGACCAAGGACACUGCUGUGGGCCCUCUUUCCAGUCAAGCCUGAGGAGGUGAGCUCACCAGUCCAGCCUCACCUUCCUCUCCAAGAUGCCAUGAGACGCUCAGACCGCCGCCUCUCAGGGUCGAACAGGAGCACGCCCGCCUCCCUCUCACCCUCUGCCCUCCCCCGGCCUCUCUGCGGUGACCUCGCACUUUGCCCUCUACCUGGUGGGGAGGGGAGAGCUCAGCCUUCCCCCCGCCCGGGGCCUGAGGCCCACCGUCUGGCUGCAGAGAUUCAUUGCCAAAGAUUCGACAGACACUGAACAAAAUGUGGUGAGAAAACCCCACAGUGAAAAGCCACACGGUUGCUCUGUGACUUUUGCUUCUCCUGUUGCCCGAGUCCCAUCUCAAGCCAAAGACGAGUCAGCGGUUCCACUAGGGACUCAUGGAAGGGAUGGACACUUGGCGACCAUUGGAAGCGCUUGACCCUCUGACCCGAAACUCUCUUUCUACACUGGGCCCUGAGCCCGCUGGGUGCAAGAUAAGCCUUCUGGAGGCUGUGAGGGGCAGGGUGGGGGUGCCUGGAGGGAGUGGAUCUGAGAUCCCAGCCCAUUCUGUCCCUCCCACUGGCUGCCCAGGCCUCUGACCCUGAUUCUCAGUGUCCCCUGGGCCCAGGCUCCUUCUUGGGCCCUGAGCAUCAUGGGAAGGGAGUAAGGAGGGAAAGAAGCAAUAUUGACCACCUGUACCCCACCCCCAGGACUUGCCCCAGGGUGACCUGCCUAAGGGUCUUUGCUCGCUUAGCCAGCCCAACCAGCCACUCCUUGCCGGGGGCCUGCCCUCCUGGCUGGGCAAACGAGAUGGUGCCCGGCCUGGGGACCAGUGGUCUGUUACAGGUUGUGCAUGGGGACAGAGGUGGGGAAGGGACCAGGGGAAUGGGCCAGUCUGUGGGGAAGGGGGACAUGUUCAAAGCCAAGGCCUGCUCCUUCCUUGUGCUCAAAAGGCCAAAGCUGUUCACAUCUGUGCUCAACCAUCUGCUUCAAAUUGAAGUAAAAGCCCCAACGUGUAAAGAAAUCA